GAUGAACGCUGGCGGCGUGCCUAAUACAUGCAAGUCGAGCGAACAGACGAGGAGCUUGCUCCUUUGACGUUAGCGGCGGACGGGUGAGUAACACGUGGGUAACCUACCUAUAAGACUGGGAUAACUUCGGGAAACCGGAGCUAAUACCGGAUAAUAUUUUGAACCGCAUGGUUCGAUAGUGAAAGAUGGCUUUGCUAUCACUUAUCGAUGGAUCUGCGCCGUAUUAGCUAGUUGGUAAGGUAACGGCUUACCAAGGCAACGAUACGUAGCCGACGUGAGAGGGUGAUCGGCCACACUGGAACUGAGACACGGUCCAGAGUCCUACGGGAGGCAGCAGUAGGGAAUCGGCCGCAGUGGGCGAGAGCCUGACGGAGCAACGCCGCGUGAGUGAUGAAGGUCUUCGGAGCGUAAAACUCUGUUAUUAGGGAAGAACAAACGUGUAAGUAACUGUGCACGUCUUGACGGUACCUAAUCAGAAAGCCACGGCUAACUACGUG
rnacentral:rRNA from 1 species